UAUGAACGCUGGCGGCGUGCCUAAUACAUGCGAGUCGAGCGAACAGACGAGGAGCUUGCUCCUCUGACGUUAGCGGCGGACGGGUGAGUAACACGUGGAUAACCUACCUAUAAGACUGGGAUAACUUCGGGAAACCGGAGCUAAUACCGGAUAAUAUAUUGAACCGCAUGGUUCAAUAGUGAAAGACGGUUUUGCUGUCACUUAUAGAUGGAUCCGCGCCGCAUUAGCUAGUUGGUAAGGUAACGGCUUACCAAGGCAACGAUGCGUAGCCGACCUGAGAGGGUGAUCAGCCACACUGGAACUGAGACACGGUCCAGACUCCUACGGGAGGCAGCAGUAGGGAAUCUUCCGCAAUGGGCGAAAGCCUAACGGAGCAACGCCGCGUGAGUGAUGAAGGUCUUCGGAUCGUAAAACUCUGUUAUUAGGGAAGAACAAAUGUGUAAGUAACUAUGAACGUCUUGACGGUACCUAAUCAGAAAGCAACGGCUAACUACGUG
rnacentral:rRNA from 1 species